rnacentral:rRNA from 1 species
AAAUUGAAGAGUUUGAUCAUGGCUCAGAUUGAACGCUGGCGGCAGGCCUAACACAUGCAAGUCGAACGGUAACAGGAAGCAGCUUGCUGCUUCGCUGACGAGUGGCGGACGGGUGAGUAAUGUCUGGGAAACUGCCUGAUGGAGGGGGAUAACUACUGGAAACGGUGGCUAAUACCGCAUAACGUCGCAAGACCAAAGAGGGGGACCUUCGGGCCUCUUGCCAUCAGAUGUGCCCAGAUGGGAUUAGCUUGUUGGUGAGGUAACGGCUCACCAAGGCGACGAUCCCUAGCUGGUCUGAGAGGAUGACCAGCCACACUGGAACUGAGACACGGUCCAGACUCCUACGGGAGGCAGCAGUGGGGAAUAUUGCACAAUGGGCGCAAGCCUGAUGCAGCCAUGCCGCGUGUAUGAAGAAGGCCUUCGGGUUGUAAAGUACUUUCAGCGGGGAGGAAGGUGUUGUGGUUAAUAACCACAGCAAUUGACGUUACCCGCAGAAGAAGCACCGGCUAACUCCGUGCCAGCAGCCGC